rnacentral:rRNA from 1 species
AGUGAACGCUGGCGGUAGGCCUAACACAUGCAAGUCGAACGGCAGCACAGUAAGAGCUUGCUCUUACGGGUGGCGAGUGGCGGACGGGUGAGGAAUACAUCGGAAUCUACUUUUUCGUGGGGGAUAACGUAGGGAAACUUACGCUAAUACCGCAUACUACCUACGGGUGAAAGCAGGGGAUCUUCGGACCUUGCGCGAUUGAAUGAGCCGAUGUCGGAUUAGCUAGUUGGCGGGGUAAAGGCCCACCAAGGCGACGAUCCGUAGCUGGUCUGAGAGGAUGAUAAGCCACACUGGAACUGAGACACGGUCCAGACUCCUACGGGAGGCAGCAGUGGGGAAUAUUGGACAAUGGGCGCAAACCUGAUCCAGCCAUACCGCGUGGGUGAAGAAGGCCUUCGGGUUGUAAAGCACUUUUGUUGGGAAAGAAAAGCAGCAGGUUAAUACCCCGCUGUUCUGACGGUACCCAAAGAAUAAGCACCGGCUAACUUCGUG